rnacentral:rRNA from 1 species
AGAGCAUUGAACUGAAGCCCCAGUAAACGGCGGCCGUAACUAUAACGGUCCUAAGGUAGCGAAAUUCCUUGUCGGGUAAGUUCCGACCUGCACGAAUGGCGUAACGACUUCCCCGCUGUCUCCAACAUAGACUCAGCGAAAUUGAAUUCUGAGUUAAGAUGCUCAGUACCCGCGGUUAGACGGAAAGACCCCGUGAACCUUUACUAUAGCUUUGCAGUGGUAUUAGGUGACAAAUGUGUAGGAUAGGUGGGAUGCUAUGAAGUUAUGACGCCAGUUGUAAUGGAGCAGACGUUGAAAUACCACCCUUUUGUUAUUUGAUAUCUAACCUGCUUCCCUGAACGGGAAGAGGGACCCUGCAUGGUGGGUAGUUUGACUGGGGCGGUCGCCUCCCAAAGAGUAACGGAGGCGCGCAAAGGUUGGCUCAGACUGGUCGGAAAUCAGUCGUCGAGUGCAAUGGCAUAAGCCAGCCUGACUGCGAGAGAGACAUUUCGAGCAGAGACGAAAGUCGGUCAUAGUGAUCCGGUGGUCCCGAGUGGAAGGGCCAUCGCUCAACGGAUAAAAGGUACUCUGGGGAUAACAGGCUGAUACCGCCCAAGAGUUCAUAUCGACGGCGGUGUUUGGCACCUCGAUGUCGGCUCAUCUCAUCCUGGGGCUGUAGCCGGUCCCAAGGGUAUGGCUGUUCGCCAUUUAAAGAGGUACGUGAGCUGGGUUUAAAACGUCGUGAGACAGUUUGGUCCCUAUCUGCCGUGGGCGCUGGAAGAUUGACGGGGGCUGCUCCUAGUACGAGAGGACCGGAGUGGACGCACCUCUGGUGUACCGGUUGUCACGCCAGUGGCAUCGCCGGGUAGCUAUGUGCGGAAGAGAUAACCGCUGAAAGCAUCUAAGCGGGAAACUUGCCUGAAGAUAAGUCUUCCCGGAGGCUAGACCUCCCUGAAGAGUCGUUCGAGACCAGGACGUUGAUAGGUCGGGUGUGUAAGCGUUGUGAGACGUUUAGCUAACCGAUACUAAUUGCUCGUGAGGCUUGAUCCU